UAGCCCCCCUGCUUUGCCUGUGUGAGCGCCUCUCACAGGGUCCAGGGGCGGCGGCGGGGAGCAGUCGGUCGGGAGCGGAGACGACGGCACCGCCCGUGGCGAUUUGGCGCCAAGCAGAGCAGGUUCCUUCGCGCUCCAAGUCGCUGUAGAAAAAAGCAUCAGAUACAGAAAGCCACAUACACAGACACUAUCACUUGCAAAUCUUCAGUUGAUGGCCUCAAAUUGGCAUGUCCAAGUAUAAAGUACUGUUCAUGAGGCUCUGAGUGCUGUUGCUCUUCAAAAAUGGGGCUGCCACCUUCUAAGAUUGAAGAUGACAAGGUCCUUGUGCUAUGCCAGAAGAGGAAGCGUUUUGUUAGAGAAGCACUAGAUGGAAGAUGUGCACUUGCAGCUUCUCACCACGCUUAUAUUCUGUCGCUGAGAGAAACUGCUUCUCUUCUGAGGAAAUGUUUUGAACCUGAAGUGCUGAAAGAGUCAUUCUCAAAUGUUUCUGCACCUCUUUUUGCACAUCAAUCAUGUGAGUGCUGGGAGGAACUCCUUGACAGCACCUGCAAAAGUAACUGCUCAAUCUUCAUUCCCUGAUGCUAGAGAGGUCAGCCAGGUUUUUGAAAAUGCUGAUGGUUUAAGGAGCCUCCAUGAGGAAGGGAUCCCUGAGCACAACAAGGGAGAGGCUGAUUUUGCAGAGCCAGAAGAUGACUUUGACAAUCCAUCCACUGAAACUAGGGCGCGGGUGUUCAAGAACCGGAAUGAUGUCCUUGUUAAUUAUACUCACUCACCUUUACAACACGCUUCAGAAAAAUAUUGAUUCACAAAGUACUAAUGCUUUUAGGGACAACUCAAAGAAUAAGAGGACAGUGAUUGGCAGAUCUUCACCAGAUGUUCUACCUAUGGGCGGGAGGUUGAAGAAACCUUCCAUUGAUGUAGCACAUUGACCGAAGCCAACAAGCUUUCUGGCAACACUGUUUGCUUGCUGCAGAGAGGAUGUCACUGUUCCUGAAUCUAUUAGAGAGUCCGCAGUGUGCGUCUCGUAGGCGUUUCGAUGCAUUAAAUGCAGCUAUAGAACCGGGUACAUAACAUUGUGGGGUGGGUUCGAUGGAGGAGCGGCUCCGAGCUAUCGGUGAAGAAACGCCUCCUCUCUUUUUGCCCAUGUGUGGGUCCGACAAUCAAGCUGAGUCCGGUUCGAUCCACUGUGGGCUGAAUAGCAGGACGAGUCAUGUCCAGGUCCGGUCCCACGAUUGGAACGACCCGAAGCUCCACACUGCGGUUUCUACUGUGGAAUAGAAAACUUGGCCUUCCAACUGUACAAAUAAUGUGAUGCACCAUGGUUUAAUGCAGCUCCUUCUCAAGCCGAGAUAAAGUACCUUACCUGGCAUAGAUCAGUGUCUUCACAAUUGCCACCAUCUAGAAAUUCUCUUGGGAAUAAUGCUGGCAGCCAUAUCUCCACACUUGAUUGGUUGUAUGCAUGGGAGAGCAAACUUUAUGAUGAAGUUAAGGCUAGCAGCGCCAUCUGCAGGAGGUACGAUGCGAGAUGCAAGAAACUGAGAUAUGAUAUUGCUUUUACCCGUGCUUCUGUGAAGGACUUGCAUUCCAGAGUUCUUGUAGCUGUUCACAAAAUAGGCUUCAUUUCUAAAAACAUAGAAGAUGUAAGGGAUAAAUAUCUUCAAACACAGCUGGAUGAACUAAUUGGAGGUUUCACUAGGAUGUGGGCUACAAUGCUUGAGUGACAUCAGUGCCAUUGUGCGAUUAUCAAGUUAGCAUCCAGAAGCUGCGACCUGAAAUAUCAUUUCAGUCAGAAUCUCAACGCCAAGCUAGGUUUCUCCUCUCGGUUGAGCUGAGAAAACUAAAUUCAGAACUGGAUGGCAUCCCACAGGGCGUACCUCUGUAGCCUAAACAUGUGGUUGCACAAAUGCAUGAAACCCCUGAAGAGGAGAGGAAGGUUUCCAGGAACCGGAAUGCCGUUGAUGUUUCGCUAACGGAAACUGCUGUCGCGCCAAUCUUCACAACCUGCGAAAUGUGGAUAAAGCUUCUCGAUGGUUUACCGACCACAGACUUAGAAGAAGCCAUCGAAGGUCUCAUUGCAGACAUAAGCCGCUCCAUUCCUCUUAGUCUUUCCUCACAAAGAGAAGGUGUCAAAUGAUGAAACAGGGGGAUCAAAGUCACCCUAGUCUGUUGAGAUUCAUAGAGAAACUGAAAGCCUUACCUCAGUUGAAAAGUAUAUCGAUCUGCAGGAAAACGUGAGGGCGGCAAAGGAGAGGAUUUGGAGAAGAAAAGAUUGAAUACCUGUUAUUAGUGAAGUGAACAUUGUACAGUACUUCAGUAUCCGAUAGAGUUGUCUAAGUAAAUGUUCCUAGUGUAAAUUCAAACUACUGCUAUGUUAGUACCGAACUGUGUCAAGAUGAAUUGCAGAAAGUAGACAGGAUGUGAGGACAAGUGGGCUAAAGUGGUGACAUAAAUAUAGUUUAUGUAGGAGUAUUAAGAUGUGCUGAUAUAUGUUCGCUCUUCGCUGCAGUCAAAUUCCAGGAGCGAUUUAGUGAGAAGUAUGAUUGUACAGUACAUGCACUGGAAAUAAAGCUGUCUCCAAAUCUUCCGGUUUGACCUUUUGGUGGUA